rnacentral:misc_RNA from 1 species
ACACCCCACAUUCAAAAAUUUUUUUUUUUUUUGAGUGGAAUUGAGAGUUUUUACUGUUGAAAUUUCAUUUCAACUGUUCUCUUUAAAAAUAUUAGGCCUGAAAUUUUAGUUUUUUUGUUGCCUGAACUUUUUUUUUAAUAUAAAGGAAAAGCUCUGGGUCAAUUUUUAAAAAAAGCUUAUUAUCUUGGGGCCUCCCAAAUAAAUCAUUCUUAA